rnacentral:tRNA from 1 species
ACCGCGAUAGCUCAGCUGGUAGAGCAUCUGCCCGGUAUGUGGAGGGUCGCCGGGUUCGAUUCCGGCUCGCGGCG